rnacentral:rRNA from 1 species
CCUACGGGGGGCUGCAGUGAGGAAUAUUGGUCAAUGGCCGUAAGGCUGAACCAGCCAAGUAGCGUGAGGGAAGACUGCCCUAUGGGUUGUAAACCUCUUUUAUGCGGGGAUAAAGGUGUCCACGUGUGGAUGUUUGCAGGUAUCGCAUGAAUAAGGCCCGGCAAACUCCGUGCCAGCGGCCGCGGUAAUACGGAGGAAGCGAGCGUUAUCCGGCUGUAUGGGGUUUAAAGGGUGGGCAGGGGGACGAUAAAGUCAGAGUGAAAAUUGAGAGGCUAAACCUCUUCGAGCCGUUGAAACUGGUUAUCUUGAGUGAGCGAGAAGUAUGCGGAAGGCGUGGUGGAGCGGUGAAAUGCAUAGAUAUCACGCAGAACUCCGAUUGCGAAGGCAGCAUACCGGCGCUCAACUGACGCUCAUGCACGAAAGUGUGGGUAUCGAACAGGAUUAGAUACCCCAGUAGUC